CUAGCUACUGACCGAUAAUCGAUUUCAUCCUUGGUCCCUGAUCAGAGAAAGGUUGAUCUGACUCAGGAACCACAAGGCAGCUUUAGGGGCUGGCAAACUGGCAGGGCCUUCAGGCUGCUGAGUCCAGGUAUCCAGUAAACAGUGCUGGGGGCGCGGCCAACACCACUGAAGUUGGCGCAGUGUGCCGGCUGCUUUCGGUCUUUAAUCCGGUGUGAUCUGUUUGCCAAGCCAAGUCGAGAUGGCUUUGUUAUCAAAGGCAAAGCCUGGAGAAUUGUACUUGAUGGUGGCCGUGGGUCUCUACGUGCCCUGUAGGCUCCUUGGAGCACCUCUUGCUGUGCCACACGUACACAUGCGUGCACACAUACGCAAGCACAAGUAUGACCUGUGUGUCUCUGCACCAACAGUACUCUGAUGUGAGGCAGUAGUGAAGAAAACCCCUCUCCCACGUCACUGUUCUUCUGCGGGGUCCAGUUUGGAGGGGUAUCCCUGGAGUCCUGUCUGAGGCGGGGAAGAAACAGGCUACCUGGCUCUCUGUUGACUCAGGGCCUCCGAUCAGGGGCCUGCUUUCCUGUCCCUACCACCAGAUGAGAGCCAACGCACCACUUCGCUAGCACUGAAGCAAGCACAGUGAGCACCCAUUUCUCCCUUGAGCGCAGGGCAGGGUCAGAGGCUUCAGGGGUUGCUUACCUGGCCUGUGGGCCAGAGGGACCAGAGAAAGAAAAAACUGGUGCACAGUAAAUCGGUUGAAAUCCCGCUGUGGUCCCAUAAAUGCAAGGCUAGGGGCAGCACUUGCUCUUGUUUCAACCUGUGUAGCACGAAGAAUGAAAACCCAGAGACAGAUAUUGGGGUUCAACCUGAAGGUCAGAAAAGCAAAGCAGCCAGCCACUGGCUCUUACCCAGUCCGAAAUGGCGAUCCUGCCUCCAGGAAUCCUCAGAAUGAGGCUGAGGUCUGUCUCCUCCUGUUUUAUAAUCCUCUCUAAGGCUGAGAUUAUAGGUGGUUUCUAUGGGAAACUAGUGUGGCUACUGGGAUUAAAGGUGUGUGCCACCACUGCCUGGUCUGUAAGGUAACUGACCUUCAGGCAAGCUUUGUUUAUGAAAAUAUAAAUGAUAUAUCACUACCAAACUGAAAAACUGUAACUGAAAGUAGAGAAAGCACAUUAUAGGCUUGGAUUUUCGCUACAUGAACUUGGAAGCUGGUUCCGUCGGAAAUGCCUGGAAACAAGCUGCAGUCUGUUACGAGGCUUGCCGAAUCACCCGAGUUUUGCUUAAGGCAUCUUAGGGGAAAAUAGUAUAGGGGAGUGGGUAAACUUUCAGGGAACCAGUUGUGUCAGGAAGAAAUAAUGCAAAGAUGGCUUUGUCCCCCUUCUUCUUUUGAUGCUAGGGAAAGACUAUGGGGCCUCCCGGUGCUGGACAAGCAAACUGCUGCUAAGGCCCCUUCACUUGUUCCUUUUCAAUCUUGUGCAUGUGUGUGUGCGCGCGCGCACGCUUGUGCACCCCACAGCACAGGUGUAGUGGUUCGAGGACAACCUGAGGUCCUCACCUCCCACCUUGCCUGAGACAUGGCCUCUUGUUUUAGCCCAAGAACUUACAGGGAUUCUUCUGUCUCCAUCUCCCACCUCACCAUAGGAACGCUAAAAUUACAGAUGUGUGCAACCUCCCCAAACAAUGAUAUGAACUGGGACCAAGCCCUCAAAUGCUCCAGACUAUGGGGAAUAACACAUCCAAACCAUUACCUCAUACAGCCAUCGCGUUAUUUAGUUCUAGAGCAUUUCGAACACUUUUGAAAAUCUCCCCCUUCCUACACCAUAUCUUCACAGGUGGCCAGUAUUCCUUGGCCUCCUGGAUGACUUGGAUGUAGAGACAUCGGGCGCUCGCUAUAGAUCAUGUGAGAGGGGAAAGCGAGCAGUAGCCAUAAGCACUUCUGGCAUCAGGGGUCAUAUCGGAGACACCAAGUUCUCCUGGAGCACCACGUGACCCCUGUGUCUGGGGACAUGGCCCGGUGUUCCUGGGGGCUCAGUUGACAUUGUUCAUGCUUUUCUGAAAUUUCCUCUCUCUAGAGACCUCCUAUGUCGCCUGGAGGCCAGGUGCAGGGCUCCAACUGUGGAUUGAUUAUUGUAAGGUUCUUGUAGGACUGAGCUUGUCUAUCAGAGAGGCCUCCCCAAAACAGUCCUCCUUAGUCGGGUAUCAAAGCCCAUCUCUGUCAAUCCAGCAAGCAAGGAGCCGAGGCAGGAGGAUUAUGAAUUUAAGGCUAGCCUGUGCUACAUAGCCUCAAAAACAAAACAAAAUCGAGAGCUUGGGAUCUGCUUCUUAGCAGGAACAAGGCCCAGGAUGUGUUCCCGACAUUGGGGGAGGGGGAAACCUUAUUUUUACAGUGACGUCAUUAAUAAGAGAAGGGGGUCUAGACUGACGCUGCUUCCGAGGAUGGGGGAGUGAGUAUGGACUGGGCGUUUUAGUUUCCUCUUGUUGGAAUCUGCUAUCUAGACAGUGUGUCUAUCUUACCGUUAGCUUCUCACAUCCAGGCAUUUUGGUAGUUCUCGGAGAAAACUAGGGUACAGAAAAGCCAGUGGGGAUGGAGCACCCAGAUAUGAGUGCUCCCAUGGGUCUGUCCCCUUCCCACGGGUCUUCAGGACUGUCCAUUCUGGGAAUCUCUACGAACUUCAAGGGAGUCCUGUGUCAUAGACCCUGGAUAGAGAAGAACCGUGCAAAAUGGGAGGCGCGUGCCUGGCGCACUGCCCAGACUCCUCCCUGCAGCUCUCAGCUCUGUACUUCAGUCUGAGUUCGUACAAAAGCCCUGCCCCACUCGUGGUCUCUCGCCCUGCGCUCCCAGCUCAAGAGCGCCGUGCACCCAGUGCGGUGCGCCUUCUUCACUCCUGGGACCAGCUCGCAGAGCUAAGAGGUGAGCUGGGUUACCCCAGCGUCUGACGGUGCCAGAACUUGGGUGCCAGAACUUGGCGCACGGUGAGUGGGACAGGACGCAGGCAGGUCAAACGGGAGGUGUCCUCAGCAGGGUGUUUGUUCCUGGCCUUAGAAUCUGGGGCUGUGUAGGACAUCUGACCAUUCUUAGCUGACAAUGUCGCAGAGGACGCGUCCAUACUUUAGUGACAUGGACGUGAGACUCUUCUGCCCUCUUCCCAGGGAGCUACCCCGCGAGCUGGGCAUUGUGGCGCGUGUCCUCGUGGUUUCUGUUUACUUGUUAUAGACUCACUCGGGCUUCGGUCUCAACACAGAGAGGCGAGGGGUCCCCGGAAGGAUCGUGAUGGCCGGAGUGCACACUGAUAUCGGCCCUAGGGUGGCACGCCCUGGGACUGAGCAGCGAGAUGAGGCGAGGGGCGCUGCGCAAACUCUGAGCUCUUGCUGGGGAAGAGUCAACCCCGGCAGAGCUGCAGAGCCGCAAAGGAGCGGAGGCGGAGGCCCGGAACCCAAUAUCUGCAAUUCGCGCAAUAGGACCCCAGCCCGGCUGCUUGGUCUCUGCCGUGUCCGGCCACCUCUCCCCCGGCCUGGCCAGCUCACAGACCAGCGUGACCCCGGCGCACCGCAGUGCCUUCCGGGGAGGGGGGGGUGGAGGCAGCGCUCGGUAGCACCGCCCUCGCGCGCUCUGCCUUUGGCCCAUCUUGCCCCCUUUAUUUUUUCAUGUGAUGGAGAUGUGGCUGCACCAACUAUCUGGAGCGACCCCCAACUCACGUGAUGCCGGGCUAGAGAGGUGUCUUCCAUCCCCGGAUCCUCGCGGUGCCUGUAGGAGGAUUGAGCAGGGGCUGUGCCUGGGCUUGCCUGGGCUUGUUCAGAGCGGGGCUGCUCCCCUCUGUGACUGCAGUUGGGGGCUUUGGGAGACGUUGCCAGAGUUUGGAGCCAAGGCCGGGGUUACAGGGGCCCAGGGGCUGCGCACCUGCUCGUCGCGGAGCUCAGUGCUGGUGAUGAACCCCAAGGUUUCAAACCUGCCAAACAAGGGCUCCACCAACACAUCGACUGCCCUGGCCCAGUCACUGGCUCUGAAGGCGGCCCGAAGGUCCUGGUCAAUUUUUUGUGUAACUGAAGGCUGGAGCCCCAGGUGAUCCACUCUAACGCUGGCCUAGGAGUGACUGUGGAGGACUCCAGCUUCCUGAGUCACGGCCUUGAAGUAAGGGUAUCUUCUACCCUCUGACUGUGGGCUGGGCGUCAUCUAAUCGGUUAAGGAGUAUAUGAGGUUUCCCUGGAGAAGAAUCACUUCCCAUUGACCCCAGAUCUUGGGAACACUUCAAGUAACCCAGGCUUCAGGAAUGUGGGUCACGCUCUGGACCUGUUUUUGCCACCAUCGGAAAGAAUGUCUCCAACAACCGCGCCUCCCCGCCCCAACACACACGUAAGUUGGCCUGGCUGAUCCCGAGGAAAGUAACUUUAGCCCUAAAAAAUGUCCUUCUCCCCUCCGCGCCAGAACGGGAUGUCCUAGCCUGUUGCUAGCCUUCUAGAGUAGCUUCGGGAGGCGGAAGGCAGAGACGAGGACCAGGACCGGGAGUAACUGGGGUGAAGAGAGGUGUAGGGGCGCAGAGGCGUGGGGAAGCACGUGAGCGUGGUGCUGAAUGAGCAUCAGGGGUGGAGCAGUUCGCGAGUGGGGGUCAC